AUCGAACGCUGGCGGCAUGCCUUACACAUGCAAGUCGAACGGCAGCACGGGUUCUUGCACCUGGUGGCGAGUGGCGAACGGGUGAGGAAUACAUCGGAACAGGUCCUGGAGUGGGGGAUAGCCCGGCGAAAGCCGGAUUAAUACCGCAUACGAUCUACGUAGGACAGCGGCGGACCUUCUGGCCUCGCGCUAUAGGGUUGGCGGGUGGCUGGCUAGCGAGUUGGUGGGGUAAAGGCCUACCAAGGCGACGAUCAGGAGCUGGCCUGAGGGGACGACCAGCCACCCUGGGAGUGCGGCACGGCCCAGACUCCUACGGGGGGCGGCAGUGGGGAAUUUUGGACAAUGGGCGAAGGCCUGAUCCAGCAAUGCCGCGUGUGUGAAGAAGGCCUUCGGGUUGUAGAGCACUUUUGUCCGGAAAGAAGUCCUUGGCCCUAAUACGGUCGGGGGAUGACGGUACCGGAAUAAUAAGCACCGGCUAACUACGUG
rnacentral:rRNA from 1 species